rnacentral:rRNA from 1 species
AUUGAACGCUGGCGGCAUGCUUUACACAUGCAAGUCGAACGGUAACAGGGUGCUUGCACCGCUGACGAGUGGCGAACGGGUGAGUAAUGCGUCGGAACGUGCCGAGUAGUGGGGGAUAACGCAGCGAAAGUUGUGCUAAUACCGCAUACGUACUGAGGUAGAAAGUGGGGGACCUUCGGGCCUCACGCUAUUCGAGCGGCCGACGUCUGAUUAGCUAGUAGGUGAGGUAAAGGCUCACCUAGGCGACGAUCAGUAGCGGGGCUGAGAGGAUGGUCCGCCAAACUGGGACUGGGACCAGGCCCAGGCUCCUACGGGAGGCAGCAGUGGGGAAUGUUGGACAAUGGGCGAAAGCCUGAUCCAGCCAUGCCGCGUGUCUGAAGAAGGCCUUCGGGUUGUAAAGGACUUUUGUCAGGGAGGAAAUCCCUAGUGCUAAUAACACUGGGGGAUGACAGUACCUGAAGAAUAAGCACCGGCUAACUACGUGCCAGCCGCCGCGGUAA